rnacentral:rRNA from 1 species
AGAGCGAACGCUGGCGGCAGGCCUAACACAUGCAAGUCGAACGAACCCUUCGGGGUUAGUGGCAGACGGGUGAGUAACACGUGGGAACGUGCCUUUUGGUUCGGAACAACUCAGGGAAACUUGAGCUAAUACCGGAUAAGCCCUUAGGGGGAAAGAUUUAUCGCCAUUAGAGCGGCCCGCGUCUGAUUAGCUAGUUGGUGAGGUAAAGGCUCACCAAGGCUUCGAUCAGUAGCUGGUCUGAGAGGAUGAUCAGCCACACUGGGACUGAGACACGGCCCAGACUCCUACGGGAGGCAGCAGUGGGGAAUCUUGCGCAAUGGGCGAAAGCCUGACGCAGCCAUGCCGCGUGAAUGAUGAAGGUCUUAGGAUUGUAAAAUUCUUUCACCGGGACGAUAAUGACGGUACCCGGAGAAGAAGCCCCGGCUAACUCGUGCCAGCAGCCGC